rnacentral:rRNA from 1 species
AUUGAGCGCUGGCGGCAGGCCUAACACAUGCAAGUCGAGCGGAUGAAGGGAGCUUGCUCCUGGAUUCAGCGGCGGACGGGUGACUAAUGCCUAGGAAUCUGCCUGGUAGUGGGGGAUAACGUCCGGAAACGGGCGCUAAUACCGCAUACGUCCUGAGGGAGAAAGUGGGGGAUCUUCGGACCUCACGCUAUCAGAUGAGCCUAGGUCGGAUUAGCUAGUUGGUGGGGUAAAGGCCUACCAAGGCGACGAUCCGUAACUGGUCUGAGAGGAUGAUCAGUCACACUGGAACUGAGACACGGUCCAGACUCCUACGGGAGGCAGCAGUGGGGAAUAUUGGACAAUGGGCGAAAGCCUGAUCCAGCCAUGCCGCGUGUGUGAAGAAGGUCUUCGGAUUGUAAAGCACUUUAAGUUGGGAGGAAGGGCAGUAAGUUAAUACCUUGCUGUUUUGACGUUACCAACAGAAUAAGCACCGGCUAACUUCGUG